GCUGUGAUCGUAUAGUGGUUAGUACUUCACGAUGUGGCCGUGACAACCCAGGUUCGAAUCCUGGUCACAGCA
rfam:Ciona savignyi cont_31869, whole genome shotgun sequence.